GUACAAUCGGUUAGUGCGCGGAGCCACUCAAAUUACCUAGAGCAACUCGCCCCUCCUUUGGCACAAUCCGAAGUGAUUUGUUUAACAAUCAGAUAAAACACUAUGACUGGUUGUGUUCAUGGCUACAUUAAAAGAUGAAGUGCAGAUCUGCUGCCCCCGGUGGCCACCUUGUGUCAGUGCAUAACAAACAGGCCAACGCGUACCUGCUUUAGAACAACGCCAAAAGCCCUCGCAUUUGGCCGGGAGGCUUUGAAAUCUUCCUGUGUAGUAAGUUUGUGUGGAUUGACGGCUCCAACUGGAACCCCUGGGGAGCCCAUCGCCAGCUGGACGAGCCGCGAGGACUGUGUGGAGAUGAACUGAAGCAUUAAGAGAUGGAUGGAUAGUUUUUACUUGCAAUGUGAUAUGUUUGUUUUUACCUACCUUAGUUGAAUGCAGUGGCUAAUUAAGGGCUAAAAUCACAAAUGGGAAAUCAACUUUUAAUGGAAGGUGGUGGGGAGGAAGUUCGAAUGAAUGGUGGAGAUGCUAUUUUUGAGCUCAUACAUUUGAACCUCUGUGUGUCUGUCCGUCUCUCUGUAUAUGUGUUCUCUAUCUCCAAGAAGAGCUACAUGUGCUCCUUCAAGAACAGAGUUUGAGGAGAGAGAGAGAGAGACUGUGGGUCUUUUCCAAUAUCCGCACACAUACUUAGCAGAGGUGGGGACCAAGUCAUUGUUUUGACAAGUCACAAGUAAGUCUCAAGUCUUAGCACUCAAGUCCCAAGUCAAGUCCCAAGUCAAGACCAUCAAGUCAAGUCUCAAGUCCUGAACUUUGAGUUUCGAGUCCUAAACAAGUCAUAAUGUACUCUUCACCAAAUGUAAUACCAUUUCAUAUUUUUAACAAGAGUAAGUUAGUAUAUUAUUUACGCAAAUCAUAAAUGCUUUUAAAAAUGUCUAUAUAUUUAUUACUUUCCAAAUAAACGUUAUAUUUCCAUGGAAAUACAUGGGUAGCCAUGAGAAAGACCCCCCUGAUCCCAAUAGUGAUCGACUGUCGAGGAUCUCUAUGGGGCGCAAUCGGGCGAUUUAGGUUUGUACACAAUCGCCCAACCUUAACACGCACACUCUCUCUCUAUCUGGUUACGGUAGGCUAACGAAUGUCAACGGUUUUAGGAACAGCAGUAACAUCAGGCAGGAUUUAGACUACCAACUGCCUAGCCUGUUGUAGCUCAAUCUUGGGUGCAAUGAUCACGUUCCCGCACUGACUGGCUGUGUGGAGGCUCAUUGAUUUAACGUUACGUUAGCCUACGUGAUACACAAGUAAAGUAAUCAAAUAUAUAGCUGUCGGCUAUAUUAGCCACGACUUAAAAUGUCGAACAAAGUUGGAAAUUGUUGCACCUCCGUCUGUAAUUUUCUUCCCGCAUGUUUUGCAAGUUGCAAUCCGUUUUUUGUCGAUACA